CCCGCCCACUGAGACGACGCCCACUUCUGCAGUGAGCGCCGCUCAGCUGUCGCUUCUGGCUCAGCGCGACGCCUCAACAGCGAGCCAUGCACGAGGAGGCAUUGCUGCUGCAGUUCAACUCUCUGCACUUCUGGAAGCUGCCGCUCCCGGAGAUCGGCUCCGACGACCUCCAGACAAUCAGCGACCCCCACCAAGGGACUACCCCCCCCCAAUCUCCCCCCCCUCCCCCCGUGCUCCCAGGCCGUGCCCCCCACUCGACUCCGCGGAUCGCCGCCUCCGCCCCCCACGACUUCGGCACCGCCACCUACUGGCGGCAACCGCUGCCCGCGGUCGACCCGGCCGAGAUGGAUCAGCUGCUGGCGGGACGGGGGGCCGGGGGGGGCUCGGGGUGGGGGGCGGGGCUGAGGAGGGAGGGAGUGGGCGCUUAGCGGUGGGCCAGGAGAUGGUGACUCCCUCGCCUGGUACGCAGGGAGUCGCCAUCGCGCGACACGAUCACCGCUCGACGCGUCGUGUACCCCAUUGGCGCUGCGAACACAACGCGCAGCGUUAGAAAGAGAACAGCAGACAGAACAGGGUGGGUCCAGAUGUCUUGUGCCCCCCCCCAUUAAUUGGGCCAUAGAAUUUAAUUAUUUAUUUUAAAUUAUUUUGCAGUAAAUAUCUCUCUCAUUUUUUCACGGUGACUAAGGGAUGUUAACUACCUCGCCUGGUACACAGGAGGUCGUGGGUUUAAUCCCGACCCUGACGAUGCCUGCUGCUGUAUAUUUGGAGUUUGCAUUUCUCUCUCUCAUCAUCAUCACGGUGGCCAGGAGAUGUUAACUACCUCGCCUGGGACACAGGAGGUCGUGGGUUCCAUCCCGGACCCUGACGAUGCCUGAGUGAAUGGGUGAGAUGUUAACUACCUCACCUGGUACACAGGAGGUCGUGGGUUCGAUCCCGGACCCUGACGAUGCCUGAGUGAGUGGGUGAGAUGUUAACUACCUCGCCUGGUACACAGGAGGUUGUGGGUUCGAUCCCGGACCCUGACGAUGCCUGAGUGAGUGGGUGAGAUGUUAACUACCUCGCCUGGUACACAGGAGGUUGUGGGUUCCAUCCCGGACCCUGACGAUGCCUGAGUGAGUGGGUGAGAUGUUAACUACCUCGCCUGGUACACAGGAGGUCGUGGGUUCCAUCCCGGACCCUGACGAUGCCUGAGUGAGUGGGUGAGAUGUUAAUUACCUCGCCUGGUGUACAGGAGGUCGUGGGUUCGAUGCCUGCUGCUGCUGCUGUAUAUUUGGAGCCUGCGCCUCUCUCCCCGUGGUGGUCACAGCGUGGAUUGUUCUCCGAGUCAUCCUGUUCCCCCCACUCCACACAUUUAGAAUCAAUGUCUCUACACGAUCAGAGGAAUUUGGCUGGGGCUAUGAAUUCCCACACGACCAUGAUGAUGAUGACGAUGAUGACGAUGAUGAUGAUGACGAUGAUGAUUGAUGAUGAUGAUUGAUGAUGAUGAUGAUGACGAUGAUGGUGAUGAUGAUUGAUGAUGAUGAUUGAUGAUGAUGAUGAUGACGAUGAUGAUGAUGAUGACGAUGAUGAUGAUGAUGAUGAUUGAUGAUGACGAUGAUGAUGAUUGAUGAUGAUGAUUGAUGAUGAUGAUGAUGACGAUGAUGAUGACGAUGAUGACGAUGAUGAUGAUGACGAUGAUGACGAUGAUGAUGACGAUGAUGACGAUGACAAUGAUUGAUGAUGACGAUGAUAACGAUGAUGAUGAUGACGAUGACGACGAUGAUGAUGAUGGUGAUGAUGACGAUGACAAUCCACCACUUGGUUGCGCAGAUGUCAUCUGUGAUGACCAGAUGGUCACUUCUAAGAGCUACGCAGCAGCCCAGCGGGGCCUUACACCGGCUAACAGGCACACGCACACACACUAGUUCAUAGUUUAUUAUUUUACAGGGAACCUCGGCUCUGUCUGUCUCUCUCUCCAUUCCGCACAGCUCUUCUGGGUCUCUGUGGGUCUCUAUGAGUAUGAGUCUCUGUGGGUCUCUGUGGGUCUCUGAGUAUGAGUCUCUGUGGGUCUCUGUGGGUCUCUAUGAGUAUGAGUCUCUGUGGGUCUCUGUGGGUCUCUAUGAGAACGUGACCCCACGUGCCCUGGUACUAGCAAACACAGAGGUGGCGGGCGGGGGGGCGGACAAAUGGCGAUUGUUUAACUUGCAAUGACUCUCAGACAAUACACAAUAAAUUAU